GAUGAACGCUGGCGGCGUGCCUAAUACAUGCAAGUCGAGCGAACAGACGAGGAGCUUGCUCCUCUGACGUUAGCGGCGGACGGGUGAGUAACACGUGGAUAACCUACCUAUAAGACUGGGAUAACUUCGGGAAACCGGAGCUAAUACCGGAUAAUAUAUUGAACCGCAUGGUUCAAUAGUGAAAGACGGUUUUGCUGUCACUUAUAGAUGGAUCCGCGCCGCAUUAGCUAGUUGGUAAGGUAACGGCUUACCAAGGCAACGAUGCGUAGCCGACCUGAGAGGGUGAUCGGCCACACUGGAACUGAGACACGGUCCAGACUCCUACGGGAGGCAGCAGUAGGGAAUCUUCCGCAAUGGGCGAAAGCCUGACGGAGCAACGCCGCGGGAGUGAUGAAGGUCUUCGGAUCGGAAAACUCUGUUAUUAGGGAAGAACAAAUGUGUAAGUAACUAUGCACGUCUUGACGGUACCUAAUCAGAAAGCCACGGCUAACUACGUG
rnacentral:rRNA from 1 species